CGCAUUCGCCCUUCGGGGUGCCCAGGCGCGAAAACUUUACAAUGCCGGCAACGGCGAUAAGGGAACCUCGAGUGCCAGGUUACAAAUCUGGCUGUCGUGAUGCCUAAAAAGCAUUGCAUAGCAAGGGCCGGGCAAGACCGGUGCCAGCCGCCGCGGUAACACCGGCGGCUCGAGUGGUAACCGUUAUUAUUGGGUCUAAAGGGUCUGUAGCCGGCCGGGUAAGUCUCUUGGGAAAUCUGGCAGCUUAACUGUCAGGCUUUCAGGAGAUACUGCCUGGCUCGAGGCCGGGAGAGGUGAGAGGUACUUCAGGGGUAGGGGUGAAAUCUUGUAAUCCUUGAAGGACCACCAGUGGCGAAGGCGUCUCACCAGAACGGACCUGACGGCAAGGGACGAAAGCUAGGGGCACGAACCGGAUUAGAUACCCGGGUAGUCCUAGCCGUAAACGAUACUCGCUAGGUGUCGGCCACGGUGCGACCGUGGUCGGUGCCGUAGGGAAGCCGUGAAGCGAGCCACCUGGGAAGUACGGCCGCAAGGCUGAAACUUAAAGGAAUUGGCGGGGGAGCAC
rnacentral:rRNA from 1 species